rnacentral:rRNA from 1 species
CUGUCUGAAUAUGGGGGGACCAUCCUCCAAGGCUAAAUACUCCUGACUGACCGAUAGUGAACCAGUACCGUGAGGGAAAGGCGAAAAGAACCCCGGCGAGGGGAGUGAAAAAGAACCUGAAACCGUGUACGUACAAGCAGUGGGAGCCCCACCACUAAGCCAGUGGUGAACUCCACAUACGCAUCCUUUGCUGAGGAGACGGUUAACGGAGCGAAAGCGACGUUCAACCUCAAAACAAGCAGAGGGGGCUUAGUGGUGGGGUGACUGCGUACCUUUUGUAUAAUGGGUCAGCGACUUAUAUUCUGUAGCAAGGUUAACCGAAUAGGGGAGCCGGAGGGAAACCGAGUCUUAAUUGGGCGUUAAGUUGCAGGGUAUAGACCCGAAACCCGGUGAUCUAGCCAUGGGCAGGUUGAAGGUUGGGUAACACUAACUGGAGGACCGAACCGACUAAUGUUGAAAAAUUAGCGGAUGACCUGUGGCUGGGGGUGAAAGGCCAAUCAAACCGGGAGAUAGCUGGUUCUCCCCGAAAGCUAUUUAGGUAGCGCCUCGUGAAUUCAUCUCCGGGGGUAGAGCACUGUUUCGGCUAGGGGGCCAUCCCGGCUUACCAACCCGAUGCAAACUGCGAAUACCGGAGAAUGUUAUCACGGGAGACACACGGCGGGUGCUAACGUCCGUCGUGAAGAGGGAAACAACCCAGACCGCCAGCUAAGGUCCCAAAGUCAUGGUUAAGUGGGAAACGAUGUGGGAAGGCCCAGACAGCCAGGAUGUUGGCUUAGAAGCAGCCAUCAUUUAAAGAAAGCGUAAUAGCUCACUGGUCGAGUCGGCCUGCGCGGAAGAUGUAACGGGGCUAAACCAU